rnacentral:rRNA from 1 species
UAUAAGAGGUCCAGCCUGCCCAGUGACUCUGUUCAACGGCCGCGGUAUCCUAACCGUGCGAAGGUAGCGUAAUCACUUGUUCUUUAAAUGAGGACUAGUAUGAAUGGCACCACGAAGGUUAUACUGUCUCCUUUCUCUAAUCAGUGAAACUAAUCUUCCCGUGAAGAAGCGGGGAUAACUAUAUAAGACGAGAAGACCCUAUGGAGCUUUAAACACAUGUAACAACUGCCUCAGCCCCCUAGCAAUUUCAGAAAGCAAAUCAAUAUUUAGGCACUUUGAUUACAAGUUUUAGGUUGGGGUGACCGCGGAGAAAAAAUCAACCUCCACAAUGAAUGGGGACUCCCCCCUAAACCAUGGACUACAACCCUAAGAAUCAACAAAUUGACAUCUAUUGACCCAAUAAAUUUGAUCAACGAACCAAGUUACCCUAGGGAUAACAGCGCAAUCCACUUUGAGAGCCCCUAUCGACAAGUGGGUUUACGACCUCGAUGUUGGAUCAGGGUAUCCCAGUGGUGCAGCCGCUACUAACGGUUCGUUUGUUCAACGAUUAAAACCCU